AUGGUUACCCACCUCCUCUUUGCAGACGACAACAUUGUGUUCCUUGAUGGUUCUGAAAGUAAUCUCCUUGCUCUCAAAACUAUCCUCCGGGACUAUGAGGCAGCCUCGGGACAGAAAGUUAACUUGCAAAAAUCUUCUAUCUUCUUCGGGAAAGGGAGCACUGAGGACACCAAAGAACAACUUAAGGCUGUUAUCGGGAUUAAUUCUGAAGCUCUAGGAGAGAAAUAUUUGGGGCUGCCCACAGCUGUGGGGAAAUCCAAGGAGGGUACGUUUAAAUAUGCCCAGGAGAGUGCAAAGGGUAAGGUC
rnacentral:rRNA from 1 species